UAGGUCAUGAGGGUGGCAUCCUCAUGAGUGAGAUUACUGCCUUAUAAAAGAGAGCCCAGAGAACUCACAGCUGUCCUGGAACCAGAAAGUGGGCUCUCAUCAGAUGCUGAAUUUGCUUGCUGGCACCCUAAGCUUGGACUUCUCAGGUUCCAGAACUAAUGCAACUAAAAGUCAAAAAGGUGAAGUGAUUUAAUUUAAAUCAAGCAGGGAUCGGCAUUACUUUUUGUUCAGAGUGCUCUCCGCAUAGUCACACAAAGUAUGGGUAUGGAAAAACUUCAACCAAUAGAGUAAAAAUGACAUAUGAUUUAUGAGGCUGGAUCAUAAAAGGGCAUACAGCUUCCAACUUGUUUGCUGGAACUCUUCUGGAGCCCUGAUACAUCCUGUAAAAAGUCCAACAAUCCAAGAGCCAGCAUACUGUGAGGAAGCCAAGCCACAUGGAGAUGCCACACAUGGACACUCAGUCACAGUCCUGUUCUUCAGAAUGUCCUGUCCAGGCACCAGACAAGUAAAUGAACAAGCCUCCAGAUGAUGCCGGCCCCCACUUAUGAAAUCAUCCUAGCCUUCAAAACCUCUCAAAUGAGGCUCCAGAUAUGGUAGAGCAGGAACAAGCCGCUUCCUCUGUUCUCUGUCUGAAUUCCUGAGCUACAAAAUCCCUAAGAAUAAUGAAAUGGUUCUUUUAAGCUGUAACUAAAGUUUAGAUUCAUGUGCUAUAUAGCUAUUGUAACUGGAACAACUCCAAACUGGGAGGG